GUGGGGAAUAUUGGACAAUGGGCGAAAGCCUGAUCCAGCCAUGCCGCGUGUGUGAAGAAGGUCUUCGGAUUGUAAAGCACUUUAAGUUGGGAGGAAGGGCAGUAAGUUAAUACCUUGCUGUUUUGACGUUACCGACAGAAUAAGCACCGGCUAACUUCGUGCCAGCAGCCGCGGUAAUACGAAGGGUGCAAGCGUUAAUCGGAAUUACUGGGCGAAAAGCGCGCGUAGGUGGGUUUGUAAGGUGGAGGUGAAAUCCCCGGGCUCAACCUGGGAACUGCCUCCAAAGCUGCAUGUCUUGAGUACGGUAGAGGGUAGUGGAAUUUCCUGUGUAGCGGUGAACUGCGUAGAUAUAUGAAGGAACACCAGUGGCGAACACGACUACCUGGACUGAUUCUGACACUGAGGUGCGAACGCGUGGGGAGCAAACAGGAUUAGAUACCCUGGUAGUCC
rnacentral:rRNA from 1 species